rnacentral:rRNA from 1 species
UAAGGAAUAUUGGUCAAUGCCCGGAAGGGUGAACCAGCCAUCCCGCGUGAAGGAUGAAGGGGCUCUGCCUUGUAAACUUCUUUUGAAUGGGACGAAAAAGCCUCACUUGUGAGGAACUGACGGUACCAUUAGAAUAAGCACCGGCUAACUCCGUACCAGCAGCCGCGGUAAUACGGAGGGUGCGAGCGUUAUCCGGAAUCACUGGGUUUAAAGGGUGCGUAGGCGGCUGUAUAAGUCAGUGGUGAAAGGCUGUGGCUUAACCAUGGGAUUGCCAUUGAUACUGUACGGCUUGAAUUAGGAUGAGGUUGGCGGAAUGUGACAUGUAGCGGUGAAAUGCUUAGAUAUGUCAUGGAACAUCGAUUGCGAAGGCAGCUGACUGGACCUUAAUUGACGCUGAGGCACGAAAGCGUGGGGAGCGAACAGGAUUAGAUACCCGCGUAGUCCCUGAGCGGGCUGGCAAGGCGCAU